rnacentral:rRNA from 1 species
AGAGUUUGAUUAUGGCUCAGGAUGAACGCUAGCUACAGGCUUAACACAUGCAAGUCGGGGGGCAGCAUGAAGUUGCUUGCAAACUUGAUGGCGACCGGCGCACGGGUGAGUAACGCGUAUCCAACCUUCCCCUUACUAGGGAAUAGCCCGGCGAAAGUCGGAUUAAUGCCCUAUGUUCUCCUUUGCGGCAUCUAACGAGGAGCAAAGAUUCAUCGGUAAGGGAUGGGGAUGCGUCUGAUUAGCCAGUUGGCGGGUAACGGCCCACCAAGGCGACGAUCAGUAGGGGUUCUGAGAGGAAGGUCCCCCACAUUGGUACUGAGACACGGACCAAACUCCUACGGAAGGCAGCAGUGAGGAAUAUUGGUCAAUGGACGCGAGUCUGAACCAGCCAAGUAGCGUGCAGGAAUGACUGCCCUAUGGGCUGUAAACUGCUUUUAUGCGGGAAUAAAGUCAGGUACGCGUACCUGUUUGUAUGUACCGCAUGAAUAAGGACCGGCUAAUUCCGUGCCAGCCGCCGC